rnacentral:rRNA from 1 species
UACGGAGGGAGCUAGCGUUGUUCGGAAUUACUGGGCGUAAAGCGCACGUAGACGGCUUUGUAAGUUAGAGGUGAAAGCCCGGGGCUCAACCCCGGAAUUGCCUUUAAGACUGCAUCGCUUGAAUCCGGGAGAGGUGAGUGGAAUUCCGAGUGUAGAGGUGAAAUUCGUAGAUAUUCGGAAGAACACCAGUGGCGAAGGCGACUCACUGGCCCGUUACUGACGCUGAGGCGCGAAAGCGUGGGGAGCAAACAGG